CCUGGACUACAGCUCUGCUCUGUGCAACUGAUUACUCUAUUGACAAAAUCAUAAAACGGAAAAGCUGAAGAAAUACAUAUAACACCAAAAUCUUGUCCCUAGCUCCAAGAAACAGGUGACCUCAUGAAUUGUGUGCUAAAGAAGUUUGUGCCUACAAAUGAAGGAAAUUUCAUUCACACUUGAUUAAUUGGAAUCUGGAGAGCAAGGGCACUGAUGAGGAGAAAAGAUGAAGAUCAAAUUCCUGUGGAAAUAAAAUCCUAAAAACUGGGCUAUCAAUCCAACAGGACAGAUUCCUUAUACAAUAGGUGCCUCUUAAAUUAGGUGCUGUAAAUUAACCAGCUCAACUAAACGUAAGCAGGAUCUUAUCACUGUAAUGCACAAUAACGUCUACAUUAUUAAAAUUCCACUAAAGAAAACUUAGUGUGAGAUAAUGCAGACAUGAAUGAUCAUUUAACAUUAAUCCUGAUGACAGCCAUUUCCACAUUGCUAUUGAAAUUCCCUCCUUCCUACAUUCUCAUUUCCAAAUACAAUACAAACAGCAUGCUCUAAUCAAUCAAAUGUACAUUCACCAUAUUUUUUAUACAAGGCCUUGUAUCUCCGAUAUAUAAGCUGCUGACAAUCAUUUAUCUUUCCUCUUGCUUUGUAGUCUCCCUAAAUGAAAGAACAGUUAGAGAAAGUUGUAGUUUCAGCAGUGAUUUUUACAUUUAGAAUUUGUUUAAUGACAAAUUACUGAUGUUAAUAACAGCCAGACCAAAAGAUUGUCAAGUUUAUCCAGCACAGCAACACCUGACUGUGAUUUUAUUGCUUUGAGAUUUGGUCUAAAUCAGAAUAAACUGCUUUGAUCAGCUCUGCAAAUUGAUUCCAUGCUCCAGGACUGCGUCAUAUGAAGUCAGCAUGAGUUUUCAUUAGAUAUAAGAAAAUAAUUUUUUUACAGUAAGGGUGGUAAAGCAUUGGAACAGUUUGCCCAGAGAGGUGGUGGAUGCCCCAUCCCUUGAGAUACUCCUGGUCAGGCUGAAUGGGGCACUGAGUACCUGAUAGAGCAGUAGGUGUCCCUGCUCACUGCAGUAGAGUUAGACUAGAUGGCCUUAAAGGGUCCCUUCAACUCAAAUGAUUCUAUGAUUGUAUGACCACAUGAUUCUGAACUCUCCUCCAUCCUUAAGUGUAUGGACUGUGUUAGAAUGUUAGUCAUCUCAGGCUAUUUGUAGAUGCUGGGUGUUGGAGAAGUGACAUUUAGCAUAAUUCAGAUCACUUAUGAUGUGACUGGUUUGCUGACAGUGUUUGAGUUCUGUGAUUGUAGAGAUAGUUUAGAAUCGUUUAUCACUUAUGUUCAGGUGGGGUAGACUGGAUAGAAACCUGUUUAUAAAUCUCCAAUAGUUAUAGUGAGGGAGCACAAAAAUCUAUAUUUAGGUUAAGCACAUACAUACAUGGCUUACUUUUCAGAGGGGAAUUAUUGGUAAGAGCAGGCAGUAGUUAACACCACCAAGAGCAGAAAUACACUAGAUCACAUUGGCAAGUUGCCUAGAGAUGUCUUACUUCAGACAUCUUAGGUUGGGAUGAAAUUUCAUUCUUUUGGUAUAAAACAUGUAUGUCUAUAAAGUGUGUAUGUAUGUGGUUGAAGGGACCUUAAAACACUUAGUUACUCUUAUUUCAACAAGUCAAUACGGUGAAACGUGUAAUAUGUCAAGAACAAUAGAGAUUAUAAAUAUUUUAUCAAAAUGUGAGUUAUUUCUAAAUAUUAUCUAUCAAAAUAAUUUUACUGGUCUCCAAAGAGGUCAGGAUAAGGGAGGGCAUUUAUUACUAAAAAUAAGAACAGGGCUUUUUUCUGAAAUCUCCCACGCAGAGUAGUGUAAUGGUAUCACUGCAAAUUUUGCUUAGAAGAUCAUUUGAUAUAAAUGUAGGUUUCUUCGCUUUCCAC
ensembl:lncRNA